AUGGAGGGGAAAACUAUUCUUCUUUGCUUUAUGGUGCUUGUUCUGCUAGGACAUUCAACUCAUGCUUGGAAUUGCCAUACCGAGAGUGCUUACUCACAUCCGUUGAUUUGUCUAGGUACUACUUGCCAUUCAAAAUGCGUGAAGAAGUGGGGAAAGCUCUUCAAUCAUUCUUCUUGUAAAGUUCGAGGAUUUUUCAAAGUGUCAUGUGAAUGUGUUGUCUGCGAUCUAUGA
rnacentral:rRNA from 1 species